rnacentral:rRNA from 1 species
AGCAGCCGCGGUAAUUCCAGCUCCAAUAGCGUAUAUUAAAGUUGUUGCAGUUAAAAAGCUCGUAGUUGAAUUUCGGGAUCAAUAUUUCGGUCAUGCCGUUGGUAUGCACUGUUAUCAUUGAUUUCUCACCUUCUAAAGAACCGUAAUGCCAUUAAUUUGGUGUUACGGGGAAUUAGGACUGUUACCUUGAAAAAAUUAGAGUGUUUAAAGCAGGCUCACGCUUGAAUACAUUAGCAUGGAAUAAUGAAAUAGGACAUCCGAUUCUAUUUUGUUGGUUUCUAGGAUCGAUGUAAUGAUUAAUAGGGAUAGUUGGGGGCAUUAGUAUUCAAUUGUCAGAGGUGAAAUUCUUGGAUUUAUUGAAGACUAACUACUGCGAAAGCAUUUGCCAAGGAUGUUUUC